UGUCUCAUUGGGUUAAGCGUCCCACUUCGUCUUGGUUCAUGGUCUCUCGGUUUCUGGUUUUGAGCCCUGGGUGGCUUCUGUGCUAAUGGCUCUGAAUCUGGAGCCUGCUUCAGAUACUAUCUGUCUCUCUCUCUCUCUCUGCCCAUGCCCCACUUGUGUUCUUUGUGUCUUUCAAAAAUUAAUGUACCUAAAAUCAUUUUCAAUCCGAUAUUUCCUGGAUGGCUCUUUUCACUUUCAUUGCUGAAGAAGCAGGCGUCCGUCUCGUUCAUUGUUCUUUUGUUAUCUUUGGCAUAGCUGACAACAUAUACGACAUUUCCCCAGCCAGCAUCGGGGAUGCGCAGCAUUUCUUCUACCAGCCGGACACCUCUCAUCCACUGUAACACUGCAUUCCUCUAGAGCAUCCCACAUGCUCUCGGAAACUGGACUGUAACUGUGGAUGGUAGCAGUGUCCCAUAAUCUUCUGAUGGUAUUUCAGGAGGUUCUUCAUUCGCAUCUUUGGUUACCUGAGUGUCUCCUGACAUCUCUCAUGUUUCCACUAGACCGCUGCUAUGACGCCCAACAGGGAACCCGAAGCACACAGGGAUUCAGGAGCAGACCAGCUACCGCUUGGGCUCCCACAAAUGGUUGCCUUGGAACUCUUUAUGGAAGAGGAGAAAAUACCCACCACCACCGUUUCAUAACCCUGCACCGAAUGUGGAGACAACAACCACCCACCCCCAAAAGGAAACUCCAGCAGGGUGCAUGUAUUGAACCUAAGGUGUUGAAGCAGGCAUUUCUUAAGCUGAAGUAGCAGACAACUCUUAAGCUGAAGAAGCUUGCAUCACUUAAGCUGAAGAAACACGUAUCUCUUAAGGCUUGCAUCUUCCCUCUACCUCUAUACUCCAAGUUCCUGGCUGGCACUGGAAUUACAUCUUUAGCCAAGACAUCAUAACCUCCAG